GUGCUCACCUCUGGCACGUAUACUAAAAUUAGAACCAUACAGAGAAGACUAGCAUGGCCCCUGUGUAAGCAUGACAGGCAAGUUCGUGAAGCAUUUCAUAUUUUU
rnacentral:snRNA from 1 species